rnacentral:rRNA from 1 species
UAUGUAGGGGGCAAGCGUUAUCCGGAUUUACUGGGCGUAAAGGGAGUGUAGGUGGUUCUGUAAGUAGGGCGUGAAAGCUCCCGGCUCAACUGGGAGAGGCCGUUCUAAACUGCAGAGCUAGAGGAUGGUAGAGGGAGGUGGAAUUCCAGGUGUAGCGGUGGAAUGCGCAGAUAUCUGGAGGAACACCAGUGGCGAAAGCGGCCUCCUGGACCAUUCCUGACACUCAGACGCGAAAGCUAGGGUAGCAAACGGG